rnacentral:lncRNA from 1 species
UUUUUUUUUCUCUAUUUGUUCCCCGGCUGAACUGUGCACGCUUCAUGACUGUGCCACCGGUAUGGGCGUUUGGCAGAUCCAAAUUAGUAGCCCACCAACUUAGUAAAUGAUCACACCACACCAAUGGAUCUAAACAAACCAGAAAAAAAAAUGGAAGAAGAAAGAACAAAUCCCAUUUCCUCUAACCCAUCGAUAGCUUAAACCCCCACAAGUCAAGCCUUCCGCGUCGGCUUCGUCCUCCCUCCCAUCGUCUCCUUCCCCAAAACCAGAUGGGCGAAGGGAGGAGACGGCGAGAUCUCACUCCCCGCUUCCCCUCCGUCUCCCCGCCCCAAAUGGCGCCACCGCGCGCUAACCCUAGCCGCCGCCACCCGCUCCUCGUCCUCCCCCUCCUCCUGCUCCUCCUGAUCCCGGCCGCCGCCGCCGCCGCCGGAGAUACCUCCUUGUCCACCUUCUCGUACUCCCGCCACUGCCCCGGCCUCCCCGCGGCGCCCGACGUCCCCGCGGGAGACGGCCACGCGCUCCCCACCCUCCAGCUCUCCACCGGCUACUUCUCCGGCGGCGGGCCCCGCAUCUUCGCCCCCGAACCCUCCUCCCAGCCGCGGUCCUUCUCGCUCCUCCCCUCCUCGGUCGUCCGCACCGCCAACGCCUCGCUCCUCCACGUCUCCGCCACGCUAUCCGUCUCCGGGGGCCGCCGCCCGGGCCGCUACGGGCUCGGCGGCCGCAACCCCUUCGAGGACGACGUCCAGGCGCGCUACUUCCGCCCGCGCCUCCCGCGCUUCACGGGGCGCCGCGGCUCCAUCAUCUUCGGCCUGGAGGGAUACUACUCGACGGGCUCCGGCGAGCUCUGCAUGGUCGGCACGGGCUCCGGCCGCGCGGCCGACGGCACGCCCGUGCACUUCCCCGUCGUGCUCCGCCUCGGCUUCCCCACCCCCGCCAACCUGACGCGGUCCUUCGUCACCGGCCGCCUCGAGAGCGUCGACACCAUCACACCCAUCGACCCCCUCUCACUCGUCGCCUACGCUGAGGAGGGAUACGCGUACGCGGAGAGCGCCUCCUGCCCACCCCCGCCUGCGGGGAGGCUCGACGCGCUCCAGGUGUUCGAGAAUAGGACUUUCUCGUGUGCUUACCUCAAUUCAAUGCUCAAAUCGCCGUUCAGGUUGCACUACCAGAGCGGCAGCGAGUCCACCGCAUCCUCACUGGGGCUUCACCAAAGGUACAUGUAUGUCAACCGGAUGCAAUGCAAGGAUGAUGGUGCCGUCCGCGCUUAUGUGGUAUUCACUAACCAGACAGAGGCAUCAAGGUACUACUUCAUGCUGGGUGAGAAGGCAGUUGUGGUGGAUGGGUUCUGGGAUCAUGGCAGAAGCCGGCUUUGCUUCAAAGGGUGUCACGUCGUGAACUCAGGGCCAUCCCCUGCUGAUUUGGCAGUGGGUGAAUGUGGAAUUGGGAUGAGCUUCUGGUUCCCGGCAGUGUGGUCGUUACAGCAGCGGAGCUUUGCUGCUGGUCUGGUCUGGAAUACGAGUCUGAAAAGUGGUGAAGCCAUUGCUGCAGGUUCUAGUGCAAUCACUCACAACUACAGGGGCAAUCUUGCUGGUUUGAAGUAUAAUUACACUAAGGUGGAUGAGGCGAUGAAGCACUAUAAGAAGUCUGGAUUGAACAAGGACAGGAAAGGGAAGUUCCCAGACAGCAGUUCGUACCGGGACUUGGUUUUCAGGUUUUUUGUGCAGAAAGGAGGUGGCUCUGGAUAUGCAUCGCCUGUCACACUUGGGUCAAUGUUGUUUGAUGGAAACUCUUUGGUGGCUCCGGAUCCCUUUUCUCAUCAUGUGACAGGCGUGAUGAAGCAGAGACUGAUUAAUGUCAGCUACGACAUCUACUAUGUUGGGAAUUGGUCUCUAGAAUCAUUCCAUCGUCGACAUAUCUCAGCGGAGGGUGUUUAUGAUACUAAGACAGGCUCCCUUUGCAUGAUCGCUUGUCGAGAGCUUAAUGUCUCAUCAGAUUGUGAAAUUCUGGUGACUGCUCAGUUUUCUUCUUUGGAUGCAAAAGUAGCACAGCAUGUAAAGGGAACUAUCAGAAGCUUGAGGAAGAAGACUGACCCUCUUUUCUUUGAAACACUGUAUAUUGCUUCAUAUGGGAUGUUCAUAGACCAAGUGGAUGAAUCAAUAUGGAGAAUGGACUUAGAAAGCACCAUGGCGUUGAUCUCUAUGACACUGGCAUGCAUCUUCAUCGCUGUGCAGCUGUUUCAUGUCAACAAGGUCCCUGAAGCACUUCCUGCCAUGUCAAUCACGAUGCUUGUUGUUCUGGCUUUGGGUUACAUGAUCCCUCUUGUACUUAACUUUGAGGCUCUCUUCAAGAACAGCAACAAACAGACCUUCCCGCUUGCAGGCGGUGGUUGGCUUGAGGUGAAUGAAGUUAUGGUGCGAAUCAUUACCAUGAUAACAUUUCUGCUACAGUUGCGACUUCUUCAGUUGGCAUGGUCUGCACGGUCUGUGGAUGUAAGCAAAGCUGAGUCAUGGGCUGCCGAGAAGAAAGUACUCUGGAUAUGCUUGCCACUGUACAUCACUGGAGGAGUUAUUACUUGGGUUGUUCACAUGAGGUUUAAUCACAGCCGAAGAAUGCUAAGGCAGGUAGUACAAAUCAAGCCAGUUGGACAUGCAUUCUGGGAGGACCUUGUAUCUUAUGGUGGAUUAAUACUCGAUGGGUUCUUGCUCCCUCAAGUGAUCCUUAAUGCUUCCUCAGAUUCCAAAGUUAGAGCCCUUUCCCCAGGGUUUUACAUCGGAAGCACCAUGAUCCGCGCUCUGCCUCAUGUGUAUGAUGUGUUCAGGAGACAGCAUUUUGUGCCGAGCUUGAGACCAUCUUACAUGUAUGCUAGCCCUCAUGAUGAUCUCUUCAGCCUCGCAUGGGACAUUGUGAUACCUUGUGGAGCAAUGCUACUGUCAGUGGUUCUCUUCUUUCAGCAGCGGCUUGGAGGUGCUUUCUUCCUUUGUUCGAAGAACAGGAAGACAAGAGAAUAUGAAAUGGUUUCCACCGUCAGUUCUUAAGAAAAGCUGAGUGGAUUCGAAAUGGUUCCUACAGUCGGUUCUCGACAAGCUUUUACAUCAUUGUUACAAAGGAAAUGUAGAGGAUGUUUACAAGUAAACGAAGAAAUAACUGUUCCUGGUCAAUGUUUGUUUUACAAAUGUGCUUGUUUGCAGCAAAAAUCACGUGCAUGUAUACGAAAGAUGAUACACAAAUUGGGCAAGUUUUGCACCUGGAUUUAGGAUGCUUAAUGCCUUUUACUCUGUUGCAAGUUAUACUUUGCAGCAUUCCUCAUGUGUCAGCAUCUCUCUGUCAGGAGGUGGUAAUUCGCCUCUUGUUUUGUGCAUCAGAUCAAGUGGGUCUUUUAUUAUCGCAUUUCUUCGGGGGUGUUUGGAUCUUUAGUCCCGACUAAAAUUUAUGUCACAUCGAAUAUUCGAAGGCUAAUUAGAAGGACUAUGAGCUAAUUAUAAAACUAAUUAUACAAAUAUAGGCUAAUUCACGAGACGAAUUUAUUAAGCCUAAUUAAUCCAUCAUUAGCACAUGUUUAUUGUAGCAUCACAUUGUCAAAUUAUGGAUUAAUUAGGCUUAAUAGAUUCGUCGCGCAAAUUAGUCUCCAUACGUGCAAUUAGUUUUGUAAUUAGUCUAUAUUUAAUACUCCUAAUUAGUAUCUAAACAUUUGAUGUGACAGGAAUUUUAGGAGCUACUAAAGAAACAAACACCUCCCGUUUCUAUAUCGUUUCAGUUCAUUUCCUGUGUGUAAGGUGGAUGACACCUGCUGGCCCGGGUUGUAAAAUCCGCAGUUGUGGCCUGAUUGUGAUUGAAGCUGUUGAUCCGAUAGGUCAUUGGCGGCACUUGUUACGAACCACGUGAUGCCUUCAAUUAUUCGCAGAUGUACAUUGUCUUUGCUAUCGUUGUUGCACGGCGCCCCACUAGCGUGCAUCGCCCGCGUUGCCCACCCUCCUCGAAAGUUCCUCGUGCGCGAUUUCAUACGCGUAAGAAAGCUCAGGUCAGAUUUGAACGUUGCGAAGCGCUAGACUGCUAUAGAACCGUGACGACUGACGAGAACAUCUGUGCUGACACGGUUGCAGACCAUGGGACUUUCCAAUUCUAAGGUCAGGCAGAAGGAAGUCGCAGGAUGGACCACCGAAAGCUGGGGCCAGGGAGCAAGGUAGCGCGAUGGUCGUUUUCCAUUGGCAUCGACGACUCCAGGUCGAUCAACUACGAGGAACCAAACUUGCAGUUCACUGCCAUGCCAUGAAGGUGACUGGAAUUCAGCUCAGUCCCGGGAGAACGCCGGCAGGCUCCCAUGUUGGCAGUGAGGACUGCAGGGUGCAGGCUGGAGGGCUGUUCACUUCAGCUUAUUCAGCUGGCUUAUCAGCUAACAAAUAGUAUUUUCUCUCACAACAAAUCAGCUAUUUCAACUUUUCAGCCGGCUUAUAAGCUGAACUUACCUCACCCAACUUUUCUUCCCCCGGUGAAUGAACCUGCAGCCUUGUUGACACAUUCAACACCUAAAUCACCAGAUGACAUGACUCCAAACCACCGUUUCUCUAAAAAAAUACCACAUGACACGGGUCAAUCUCUAGUCAUAACCACUUCCGUAGUAAAAGUAUAAGAGGACGAAACAGCAAGCCUCCAAACAGGUCCUUUCGCUCUGGCACGGCUGCUCUGCUCGGUUCCAUCACGGCGGAGCCCCCCGCACACCGCGGCGCCGGCUUCCAGUUGCAGGCUUGCAGCCAGCCUGCCGUUGCCGAAACGCCCCCACACGGCCAAACCCCCGUGCCCAACGCCCAGUUUUGGCCCGACCCCGCGUCGCUUGACCGGUAAAAGCCUAGCCGCCUCCGCGCGCGAGCCCCGCCGCGCGAUAGCGAUAGGGCGAUGGCGACGAGACCCUCCCGCGACCCCGUCAACCCCACGCCCUGCCAGGCUGCCACCGUCCGCACGUCACUCCACUGAGGCGUCACCCGGCGUCCCGGCCCACCCCGGAUGGUGCCCCACCACCCGCGACCUUGACCCCGCCCGCCCGCGCGCGCGCCGUCACCGUCGUCCCCCAUCGCCGCCUGCGGAAGCCCACGCACGCAGCCAGGCUGCGCCACGCCACGCCACCACACCACACGCACUCCCGGUACAAGACGACCGGGGAGCAAGCGGAUGGGCUCCGCAGUCCACACCACGCCGCACGGCAGGCCGAUGGAAUAGCACCGUACCGGUGGCGGCACGGGCGCGGCUUGCUUAUAACGCGCUGGGGGCAGAGGAGGGAAAGGACGGCGACGAUGAGGGGGUCCUUCGGCGCGCGGCGGAUGACCGCGCAGGAGGCGGCCGAGGCGGCCGUGGGCGCGGUCGGGUGCGGGUACGACCUCACGGGGGACCUCCGCCUGGGCCGCGCCAAGCCGGCGGGGAGGUUGGUGGAGAUCGACGCGGCGCCGGCGCCGGCGCGGGACCUGACCCUUCCUGGAGGGGCCGUCGUCUCCGGCGUGCCGGCCGGGAUCGUCGCCGACAAGGGCGAGCGCACGCGGUUCCGCUCCGACGUCCUCUCCUUCGCUCAGGUGUGCUUCCUUUGGGUUUUCGUUCUUCCCCCACUGACUUGAGUUCUCAGGAGCCCUGAGAGUGAUCGAUGCCCGGCCGCAGAUGGCGGAGCAGGUGAACCAGUCGCUGUCGCUGGCGGGGAAGAUCCCCUCGGGCGCCUUCAACGUCAUGUUCGACUACCGCGGGUGCUGGCACCGGGACGCCGCCGCCACGCGGAGCCUCUGCUUCGACGGCUGCUUCGUCGAGCUCUACAGCGUCGAGGCCGUGCGCGCGCAGCUCGCCCUGCGAGACAGCGUCAAGGAGGACCUGCCGCCCUUCUGGGAUCCCCCCGCGCUCGCCGAGUACGCUUGCCGCCGCUAUCCUCUCCCGUCCCAGCCGUGACGAUGCGCAGAGCAAGCAAACUGAUGCGGCUGCUUGCUCUCUGCAGGUUCAUCGACAAGUACGGGACGCACGUCGUCGUCGGGGUGAAGAUGGGAGGCAAGGACGUGGUGUGCGUCAAGCAGCUUAAGGGCUCCAGCCUGACGCAGAGCGACGUGCAGGCCCGGCUCAAGAAGCUCGCCGACGGCAAGUUCUCGCAGGACGGCCCGGCCGGGAAUCCCACCGCCGCCGGAGACGACAGGCUUACGCACGGGCUAAACGUGAGUGUUCUCUGCUCCGCGUGCACCUCUGCUCACAGUGUCACAGUCACUUGAAUAUGAAUGCCUCGUUUGAAAAAAAAAAUGAGUUCAUACCUGCUGCAUGUGUGAAACGAAUGAGCAAUUCUUGUUGUGCUACAGGGAAAUUUCGGCCCCGGAUCAGCGGCCUGGCAGUCUUUCAGAUCACCAGUCGUGUCUCACAAGGAUGUAAGGAAGCAUUUCGCCCAACGAUUUUACUGAUCACAAUGCGAUGGCACCACCAACAACAGCCCAGAAAUAACAUGGUUGCGUUGCGUCCCGUUGAAUUUUGGUAGGACAUUGUCUGCAUCCACAUCAGGAGAGGUGGCGUCGACAGCGGGCAGGGCCACGGCAAGUGGCUCUCGACGAUCACCGGCUACCCGGACGUCAUCUCGAUGUCGUUCGUGCCCAUAACUUCCCUGCUGUCCGGCGUUCGAGGCUGCGGGUUCCUGAACCAUGCGGUGAAUCUCUACCUCAGAUGUAAGCGUCUCUGAUCAUCUGAUGCAGCAUUGUCACUUUGCCACUUUGGAGUCAGUUCAGACGUCUAAUCGGCCGUCCAUUUCCUGCUUUUGGAUUCAGACAAACCGCCCAUAGAAGAGCUUCAGCAGUUUCUGGAGUUCCAGGUGCCGCGGCACUGGGCUCCAGAGUUUGGUGAGCUUCCUCUUUGCCUCCACAGGAGGAAGAACAGCUUGCCGUCUCUUCAGUUCACCCUCAUGGGCCCUAAGCUUCAUGUCAAUACUGCCAAGGUAUCCUGUUAGGAACCUGUCGUCUUGAUCACUGUUCCUAUUUGCAGUUGCAGAACUCAAACAAAAUUCUGUGUCGUGCAGGUUGAUUCCGGCAACCGUCCGGUGACCGGCAUCCGGCUGUUCUUGGAAGGCAAGAAGAACGACCGGCUGGGGGUCCACCUGCAGCACCUGUCGGUGACGCCGGGCACGAUCACGGUGGCCGGCGAGGCGGCGUCGGCCGAGGACGCGAUCGUGGACGAGCGCGACUACAUCGAGCCCGUGAUGUCGCCGCUGCUCUCGCACGUCUGCACGGCGCCGGUGCAGUACAACGGCGCGCGGAUCGACGACUGCGCGGCGAUCGUGACCAGGGCGUGGCUGGAGGUGCGGGACACCUGCUGCCUCAAGAAGGUGCUCUUCCUGCGGCUGGGCUUCUCCGGCGUCGCGGCCACGAAGAUCCGGCGGUCCGAGUGGGACGGGCCCUCCGUCGUGCCCCUCAAGUCCGGCUCGCUGUCGGCGAGGCUCAGUGCGGCGCUCUCCGGCGGCCUGGCGCAGGCGGUGCCGCCGCCGCCCGCCGCGGAGGAGAAGGUGGAGGUGAACUCCGCCAUAUUCCCCAAGGGACCGCCGGUGCCGCUCCCGGUGCAGAAGAUGGCGAGGCACGUGGACACCACGGAGGUGAUGAGGGGCCCCGACGACCAGCCGGGGUACUGGGUGGUCACCGGCGCGAAGCUGUGCGUCGAGGGCGGCAAGAUCGCGCUCAAGGUCAAGUACUCGCUGCUCAUCGCGGUGCAAGAGGACACCGACGUCUGAGCGCUUCGUUGUCGUCGUCGUCGUCGUCGAUGCCUCAGCUUCUCCGUUUUUGUGUCUUGUUUUGACGUGGUGUACAGAGGGCACAGGGCAGUUCAGUCGUGCGCAUGGUGUAAAUAGUGCAGAGGGCGCAUGCUGCAUACUUCAGUGUCAGAGAUGUUGUUGUUGUUGUACAGAAUAUAGAGUGCCCAAUAGCGGCUGAUAUUUUGGUUUGCCGAUUCAGGUUUUGCAAAUCUAGGAACAGUUUAGAUAUGUAGAAAUUAUCUUAUUUGAGCAUUCAAUAUAAGAAAACGAGUGAUGCUAUUGCUCAGCAGAUUGGGAAAAAUAGUUCGAUCAGUCAGUCGAUGAUCACUGUCGUCGACCCCUCUACUUCUUUUUGUGUUUGAUUGUUUCGUUAGCCGUGGUGUACAGUUCAGUAGUGAGCAUGUUGUAAAUAGUGAAGAUUGUACAUUCUGAUGGUUCAGGAUAAAAAUAGUUCAUAAACCGAUUGAUUUUUGUUUUGGGCUUGUUUUUGUUGGUUGCUAAAGGGUUCGCUCAUGCCUUGCUCGGUUUAAUGAAAAAACAAUCAUCCCUAAUCUUCUUUGCGAUCAAUUUGUAGGUGCCGGCCAGAUCUAUGCCUAACUUAAUAUUUGAGCACCAAUUCUAAUAUGUUGCAUUAUGUAAGCAUUGUCACUGUACCCCACGAAAUAAGUAAAAAAAUAUGAAUCAUAUAUUCCUUUUCCAUUUGUGUGUGAGGCCAUUUCCUCUUGUCUCAGCUCUGCGUGUUGGACAUUUUUUAUUCAUGAUUCAUGCAAAGUCAUCAAGUACAAUAUUAUUUAUUCAUGUAUCGCCACCUACUACAAUUUGAGGUUUCGACCUUCUCUCUCCUUUACGAGGCAUUGGUUUUCCUACACCCUGCAUGUGUUUGCCAACUCCACUACCGAACCUCCCACAAUAUGGAUUAUCAUUUUACAAUAUAUUGCCUAACCUUUACAUAACUCGAAUGUUUUUUUGGUUUGGUUUGGUUUGAUUUGAUUUGGAUUUCUCGAGAAAAAAUGAUUUAGACUUGAUUUUAAGAAGCCACCCGUUACUUGAAAAAGAUAGUUUCACUUGCCACUUUCAAUAUUAUACACGCUGGAACGCUAUUGUCAACCUGUAUAUGUACUAUGGCAUUCUAGUGAAAUCAUAUUUUUUGAAAUCAUAUUUUAGAGUGUUUGGCUCGGUGUUUUGAGAUUGUCAACCUCCAUAGGUCGUCCUGUUUGUCGGGACGUCUUUCGCUGCUGGAGCAUGAUCUGCCUGUCUUCGACAAUCCUAUCGUGUACUUGUUUGCAUUUGCCUGUUCCUCAUCGCUUGCUUGGUUGCUCGCCUCGAUGAUCUCCAUGUUCUUCCAUGGCUAGCGCCACAAGACCGGUCACCAUCCUGACUUGGAAUGUUCACGGCUUAAGUGACAAGUGCAAAUGUGACAACAUCCGGCUUGCACUUCCCUCCUGCUUGCCUGCUAUUACUAGCUCCAACACAUUGACAACUUCAAAGCCACCUCCUUCCUGCCUCCUUCUCUCCCUCCUUCGGUGCCUCUAGGGGCAUUCUCACUGUCUGGAACCCAAACCUCCUUACACUCACUGCUUCCUCCUCGCAGCGCUUCUCCCUAACCAGCACCUUCACCACCUUCUCCCUAAACUACUCUGAUUUGGUAUUGAGACCAAUUCAAUACCAAGCCCCAUAAUAGCGAUACCAAACGGAGCCUAAUUGUUGUAGGACUUGAUCUGGCUCUUCGGUCCACUGAAACUUGUCUUGCCACUUGAUUAUUUGAAGAAUGGUAGGUUCCAUUCUCCAAGCCUGAGAUGAAUCUGUUGAAGAUCGACAUGCAUCCAGUCAGCUUUUGGACGUCCUUGAUGCCUAUCGGUGAUAGGGCAUGCAUAUCGGUGUGGCGGAGAUCUUCUCAGGGUUAGCUUCAAUGCCUCGGUAAUUAAUGAUGAACCUGAGUAGUUUCUCAAAAAGCACGUCGAAGACGCACUUUAUCAGGUUAAGCUUCCACCGGAAGUCUCGUAGACUUACGAAAGUUUUUGCGAAAGUUUCUUCUACAUCCACAAUCGAAUCGACGGGAGCGCUCCCAAGGCACGUGUAGACCAAGGAGGUAGAGAAAAGCAGUACGGGAGCGGCACCCAAGCUUGAGGUCGACGUCUUCGGCCUCCUCGUCGUCUUGCUGCGUUCCUGCAAGCCGCGACCUUGACCUGCUCCUCCCGCAUACUGCCAUAGCUUAUCUGCUCCUCCCUCUCUGCUUUUCCAAUCACUGGCAUCGAUCCCUUCUCGGCCACCUCUAUCUCCGAUUAAAUUUGGAUUACAUAAGAGGAGUAGUGCACAGGUACAAUCCAUGUUUGCAUUGGAUUCAGGAUAUGGGUUAGGGAGGGCUCCGAUUUGUGGCAGAACCACAUGGAUGGGAGCUGAGGAAGGGGAUCUGGGAUUCGAUUGAUCUGACCAGGGAUUCGAUUGGAUUGUUUACGUCAGAACAAAAUAGAAGAAGAUAUUUUCUUGUGGGGCUAAUUGGGCUUGAGGUUGACUUUACUGUGCUGAAAGGUCAAUAGGUCAUGGCUACGACUGAGUGCUGGGCCUCAGUCGUAGGACUAUAAUUUGCUGGGCCUACAAGUAUAUUAUGAUUGCUUCGUCUAUCCUAGAUUUCCAAAUUAUAGGACUCAGCAUUGCUAUACUACAAAACGCUUUAAAGGUGUUUGGUUGCCCUUAGCCAGGCUCUACCGAUGCAACAUUUCCUAUUUGUUUAGUUUGCGCAUCCGCUCGAUCAGGCUCCACGUGUGUAAGAUUUUUCCUGCAGCCAGGCUCUGGAGGUACGCAGAAAUUGGUCGUUUCUGCCGAGCCAGGCUCGCGUGGUGCGGGUAAUUAGCCAUCUAAUGAUGUUAUUAAUACAUUAUUAGCACAUAUUAAAUGAUAUUAACAUAUUUCGAUUAAUAUUAAGGAGUAAUAAGAUAAACUAAGAGUUAUAAGAUAAUAGUUUUCCGCAAUAAAUAUAUUACGAUAAUUAUUUAUAUAUUUUUAUCUCAUACAACCGAUCCUCGUACAAGCAACCAAACAAAUUUUCGGAAGAGCCUAGACAGACAACCAAACACCAUGCUCCUACAUGUAUCGAAUCUAGCUCUGAGGAGCCUAGCUAACUGGUACGAACCAGGCUAUACUCCUCCAGUCAACCAAACACGCGCUUAAGCUACAGCUACAGGGAGAGGGUCACCGCACGCUUAGCGCGCUUUUCUUAACCUUGCCUGCCGUAGCCCCCUUCGAAAAAGUGUGGCGUUUGGUUAAGUUCCAAGGGAUCCAACUAUACACUGUAGGCUGUAGCCAAGGAAAUCCCCUUCUUUCGUCCUUCACCCUCCCGGCCGGCGCCGCGGCGGCGAGGGAAGACGCGCGGGCCUCUUCCGUCGCCUCUCCCUUCCGCCUCCGCGGUCCGCUCCGCUCGCGCCCCAUCGAGCGCUCUCCUCCCGACCAAGGGUCCCUCGGUGCCUCCUUCCGCCAGAGGGGGACACGCCGCCUGCCCCGCAGACAGUCGAAGACUCGAAGGGAUUCCUCCUGUCGUCGUCGUCGUCCUACACCUCCUCGGCGCUGGGGGGCCGCCGCGUGGAGGGGAUUCCUCCGAGCUUGGAUCGAUUUCUUCUGCACUUGGUAAGGAACCCUAACCUUGCUUGGUUGUUGGGCGGGUCGCGCGUCCUGUCACCUCUGAGUGAUCAAAUCCAGAUCUUCACGAUCCAACCCGCACUCUUUGUAGCGAAACUGUUAGAAGCUAGUAAAUUUUGCAAAGAAAUCUUGGGGUUCAACCCGAUCCCCACGGAAUUUCUUAGGGCUUGUUGUAUAACACAACUCCCUCCCAGUCCCAGUACAUGUGGAAUGGAGUGGAAAAUCAAGUAAUCAACUAAUUUUCCUAUCAGUCCCUCCGAAUACGCAUGUAUUCGAUGGGACUAUUCUCUAUCCAAACAAAACCUGUAGUGUUUUCCCUAGGUUUCUCAUUUAAGAGCGGUUUCUUAAGAAUUACUCAAUUGCAUUUCGUAUUUUUGUCUUUCUUGAUGACUCAUUGUUGAACAGUUUUGAGACAUCUUUUUGGCUGGUAAUGUUACAAUCAAUUUUUAUUUAGAUGGAUAGCAUAUAUAUAAGGCCACUCCUGAAUUCCAACAUAGAUUACACCAAGCAACAUCAUGUAUUAUUUCUUUGCAACUACUGCUGCCUUACUUGGUCCAGAUCCAUGCACCACCCUUGCCACAUCGCUUUGGUGCCUCUCUGCUUUCGUGAGUAACCUGACAGCUUGGUUUGAAUCCUACUCCUUGAUUUGAUCAAACCUAGAUAACGGUUGUGUACGAGGCUCAAAACUUUUGCAUGGUCUACAAAAUUAUUGGGCAUUCCACUGUUGGUUCUUUUAUUGCCCAAGCCACGUUGCCCUUAUGCCCGAGGCCCGAGCCAAAUAUUACAGAUCAGUACAUUAUUAAUGAUUAUAUGAUGGAAAUCUGGAAUGCUAAGUUUCCUUUAGUUUUUCUCUAAAGAACUUUGAUGUUUCAUAAAUAUAACUCUGAAGUAUAUGCCAUUAUUAUUUUUUGUUUAUUUCAUUUGAUAUUAUCUUAUUUUUAUAAAUACUAAAAAUUUUAUUUCUUGAUUGCCAGUUGAACUUGGAGUUAGACUAUGGAUCUGGAGACAGAGAAUCGUCUUGCUUCUUUACUACUUGAAGAAGCGCGAAGAUUACAGUUAGAGGCUGACAGGGAAGGUGUCCAUGCGUAUCUUCGAAAGCCUAAUGUAAGGCAUCGUCCAAACUCUCGGUUCCUCACGGCCACAGUUCGUGGAGUUCAGCAAGGUUAGCAUUGUGCUCCUUUGAAAUGCCAUUGUUGCAGCUGUAUUUUGAGUUUAUUGAAUCAUUUGCCACUCUUUUUCUAUAUUUUUGAAAACAAUAAAACAGUUGCAAUCACGUGAUCUUGUAAAAACUCUACCUGGCUCUUGCUUCCUGUAUAGGACUCAUGUUACUAUCUCUUUUAAUUACAUCAAGUAGCUUUUCCAUACGUUUUGUUGAAUUGAAUCAAGCUGUUGGCCUGCAGCAAACCGUGUUGUGGAGGUCAAUGAAAUGUGGCGAGCCAGGGAAAAGGAAUUGGAGUUGGAAUCCAAGAUGAGAAGCGGAAGUAGCAAAAGUAAAGAUCUUUAUGACUCAAGAGGUGAGAAGCGUAAAAGUGACUCCAGAAACCAUAGCUCCAGCUCAAGGGUUGAACAAGAAGGGAUUGCCUACUCCUACUCAGACAAGGAGGAUGGUCUGGGUGAUGAUGAAAUUGAAAGAUUUCUUCAUUCAAGGUUAGUUAGAAUAUUCAGUAUCUUCUUUUUGUGAGAAAAGUCCAUUAUUUUCUAGAUGAACACCUGGCAUGUAACUAUGAUUUUUUAAAAGAAAAAACUCUGGUGAUCUUUUAUGAAAAUCAUGCAAUCUGUCCACCUCCUGAUAGUAGCACAUUAUUCUAUUUGUGGGUGCUGGUAUCCUAUUAUGUGGCAUAUUGUGAAUUUGUGCAUGCCCUCUGGACCUUUGCUUGGUGUUACCUAUCUGUGACUAUUGGUAACAUGUGCAAUUUGUUGCUACUUUGUUAGGGUGAAGCGAGGACGUGGGGCUGUUGGUUCUAGGAUGGACGAGCCCGGUCCAUACCUUGAUUUGUUGUCCCAUCGUAAAGACAACGAGCCUAGUCCUGACAUACGUGUGGAAGAAAAAUGGGAACGCCGAGUGCAAGGCCCAGAGAAGCCUUCGUUUUUGAAAUCCAAAUCUCCUGAUGAUUGGCAUAAGGAAUCGUUGGAUGGAAAGUCGUCAAGCUCUGAACCACGGAGCAAGAAAGAAAAGAAACGGAAAUCAGAGAAAAAAGAUAAGAGAGAUAAAAAUAAGGAGAAGUACAAGAAGAAAUCCAAACAUCGUCAUCACCACCACCAGAAAAGCCGAAGAAGGGAGUGAUGUGUCUGUUUGCCAAACAGGACAUUUGUACAAUGGUUCUGCCCUGAAAGAAGCAGCUAGUUGGUUGUUGCUGUAACUUGAAAUCUCUGUUGUAUGAAAAAUCGACACUGCAGAAUGGACUAUGGUUCAUAUGAUAGUGUUGUUUCAUAGUUGUGUUGUUCAAGUCUAAGUGUCUAGCCCUUAUCCUAAUAUGAUUAAUUUAACAUUUGAUGAAAGAGUGUUAUGCUUUUUGGCAGGCACACAUAACAUGUCCAAUAUCUUAAGUAUUUGAUGAGCUGGUCUUGAAGCAUGUCAAUCUAUUAAUUACGUGGUUCAUAGGUCAAUAAACGUGCUCAAGAAUUUGUUGACCAUCAGAUAGCAUUCACAGAUUUGUUUAUUUGCUAUGAAUUAAGAUCGUUGGCGCGCUACUUGUCAAGUUUCACUGAACAUUACAAUUGACUGCAAAUGGUAAGAUCGAACACCAUUUUGUGAGAUCUUUUAGUUCCUCACUCAAAAUGGACCUAAAAUUCGUAGCAUGGAUCAUACUCGAUUCUCAGUAUGAAUGGUUUACUUUGCUUUUAGAAAGCCUCCCUGUUUCCCAAUUUAUGAAUUGAUGUUCUUUCAUAAUUCGAGUAGGGGGAUUUACAUUCGUAGCAUGGAUCAUACUCGAUUCUCAAUAUGAAUGGUUUACUUUGCUUUUAGAAAGCCUCCCUGUUUCCCAAUUUAUGAAUUGAUGUUCUUUCAUAAUUCAAGUAGGGGGAUUUACAUGUAGUUGACACCCCAGACAUGGCAAUAAGAGGGCAUCGGUAUGUUUGGAGAACUGGAGCCAGUAUAUCUUUCAAGAAAAAAAAAGAUGCAGACAUCAUUGAAAGACUGGGGUGGUAUACAGAACAUUAAAUAUGAAAUUUCGAUUCAGAAUUGCUUUACAGGACUAAUUCUUGAUCCAUACCACUGAAAGAGAGAAUGUUUGUGCGAAGGCUUGAUAACAUUACCACAACUCAAAAAUCCCAAAACAAAAGAAAGCCAUCAUCUAAUUCUGAAGACUAAAGCCAUGCAAUCUAUGGUCUCUGUACAGUAUAAUGCCGUGUAUUGAACGUAAUGGACUGAAAAAAGAACUACCUGCAACAGAAGAUAAAAAAACAUUAGAUACAGUCAAAAGAGAUAUAAGCUUGCAACAAGGAAAGGUAAACAGAAUGUCUUUGUGUUAACAUUAAUUCCAAGCAAACAGCUGUGGAUAAAAUUGGUCGCUAAAGAAUGCUCAAGCUAAAAUCUUAACACAUUUUUCAUGCAACCAUACCGAAUGUGCUGAACAUUGCAAAAACCAUGAAAUGCUGUGCAGUAAGAAAUACAAAGAUGGCUUCAGCAGAAAUGCUGUUCAGGAGUAGCUGUUCCAGCUGCUUCCACUGAAAGUCAGACAAUUCAGAUGGGCAAAAGUGUUUGAUCAGGCCAAACAGUAUUCAAGAGACUCAAUUGAAACAGAAUAUGGAUCUAGAGGUGGGCUGAUGCUGUCCUGUUCUUACACUUAAAGUAAUAAAGCAUUUUUUUAGGGAACAAAAUCCGGUGUUUUUUAGCCAUGGAAGCUUAGUAGCUAAGCAUAACUAGCUCUUAUGAAUAAUUUGGACAGCUCGUCACCAUCCCAUGUGAACACUAAAUAUCAAUUCCCAUCCAAUGCACAUAAAAAUUAAGCAUCCAAGAGUAACCAACAAUAUUCCGAAUAGGGGAUUACCCAACUGCACUGCUAUUUUUGUCCUGAUGAACCACAGCUGCUCACAUUAAAGUAUUCUGCUAAAAUCAUGUAGAAAAUUCCAGUAUGAUACAUGACCAGACAUGACCGUGACAUCAAGUUUCUUUUGUGAAAGAAAAUCAUGAUACCUACUUCAAUUUAACCUAAACAGAAAUGCAAAGUUCCCCCUAAUACAUCUUUGUUGCCUCUUUUUUUCAGUACUAUGGUAGUCGAAACUGAGAAAAAUAUCUAAAAUUUCAGGAUGGACAGAAGAGCUGUCAACAAAAGAUAUACACAUUCCUUCAUAGCACAUACACAUUCCUUCAUAGCACAAACUACUGUAAAAGGAAAGAACUGUGAUCUGCCAGUUCCCCAAUUUAGGAACUCAGAAGUAUCACAAGAAACCACAGAAAUUCAGAGGCAUUAUCGCGUACCUGAAGGAACGAAUGAACAAACUACGUCGAAUUAACUCAGCCGACGACAAAUGGACCAAUCUCGCCGUUGCGCAUGGCGCGGGCGAGCUCGUUGGCUACCACCAGGCAGGUGGACACCCAGCCGGCGAGCACCGCCCACACCAUGUCCACGAUGCAGACCGCGACCCCCCACGGCAUCGUCAUCCUUGUUCCCUCUCCUCAGCCGUCCCCCAAGGAGGCAAUUCCACAAACACCUUCCCUGCAGUCUACAAGCACGGUUGAGCCGAGGAGGAGAUCGCAUGAAUUCCGACGAAAUGAUGACAAGCGACGGGAAGAGAACUCACCUCUUAUCUUGCCGAUGCAAUCAGCACGCAUGAAACGAAAGAAACUCCGAUUAGCGCCAGUCCUAGUUUCGAUCAAGAAUCUUAAGCACCAGCAAUCGGCGAAAAAUAUUUGCGUCGACAAGACGGUGUCUGACAAGAGAUGGGGAUCGAUUUCACUACCGCUUUAGCCACCUAACCCUUGCUCUCGCACCAAGAACCAACACAACUCCGCCACUUAGUGAUCAACUGCAAUUCCACCACCUCCAGCAUAAAUUCUUUAAUCAGCAUGAUAAUUUCUUUUGAUCAGACGAUUAAAUAGAGAUAAGGGUUGAAGGGUAUUCUCUUCACCUUGCUUGCUUGGUUUUCCCAUCUUCUUUGCCUGCCUUCCACAGCAACCUUUCCCUUUCACCUUCACAUAUCUUUUUGUUUCUUUUGCCAGGUAAGCAGUUCAAGAUUC